UGAUCUGAACACCAUCCUGAAGUGGUCAGUCUGAUCUGAACACAAUCCUGAAGUGGUCAGUCUGAUCUGAACACAAUCAGACCACAAAGCCACUUUUGUGCGUCUAGACCCGUCUUUUAAAUCCGAGCUUCGUACUCUGAUAGCAGAAAUCGCAUGUAAGUGUCAAGUGUAGACACGAUCCGGACUACCUCCGGAGAAAAUCUAAUCACAAUAUCAAUGGUAUUUUAAUUGUCUACACCUGUCUAAAAAUGUGGGCAACAUCGGAAAGUCAACAAGAUCUGGACACAUGGUAGAACCAGGUAUAAACGGGGUAGAACACAUGGUAGAACCAGGUAUAAACGGGGUAGAACACACGGUAGAACCGGGUAUAAACGGGGUAGAACACACGGUAGAACCGGGUAUAAACGGGGUAGAACACAUGGUAGAACCAGGUAUAAACGGGGUAGAACACACGGUAGAACCGGGUAUAAACGGGGCCCCAGAUGUUAGAAACACAUCUUGUGUACAGUGCUUCAUUCAGUGUUUUUCUGUUACUC